GCAAGUAGAACGCUGAAGAGAGGAGCUUGCUCUUCUUGGAUGAGUUGCGAACGGGUGAGUAACGCGUAGGUAACCUGCCUGGUAGCGGGGGAUAACUAUUGGAAACGAUAGCUAAUACCGCAUGAAAUUGCUUAUCGCAUGAUAAUUAAUUGAAAGAUGCAAUUGCAUCACUACCAGAUGGACCUGCGUUGUAUUAGCUAGUUGGUGAGGUAACGGCUCACCAAGGCGACGAUACAUAGCCGACCUGAGAGGGUGAUCGGCCACACUGGGACUGAGACACGGCCCAGACUCCUACGGGAGGCAGCAGUAGGGAAUCUUCGGCAAUGGGGGGAACCCUGACCGAGCAACGCCGCGUGGGUGAAGAAGGUUUUCGGAUCGUAAAGCUCUGUUGUAAGAGAAGAACGGGUGUGAGAGUGGAAAGUUCACACUGUGACGGUAUCUUACCAGAAAGGGACGGCUAACUACGUGCCAGCAGCCGCGGUAAUACGUAGGUCCCGAGCGUUGUCCGGAUUUAUUGGGCGUAAAGCGAGCGCAGGCGGUUAGAUAAGUCUGAAGUUAAAGGCUGUGGCUUAACCAUAGUAUGCUUUGGAAACUGUUUAACUUGAGUGCAGAAGGGGAGAGUGGAAUUCCAUGUGUAGCGGUGAAAUGCGUAGAUAUAUGGAGGAACACCGGUGGCGAAAGCGGCUCUCUGGUCUGUAACUGACGCUGAGGCUCGAAAGCGUGGGGAGCAAACAGGAUUA
rnacentral:rRNA from 1 species